GCGAUAAGCCAGGGCAGCGUGAAGUGUAGAAGAGAUAAGUAGUGACCAACAAACUGAUAAAGCAAAACAUUUAAAAAAGAAGAAGAAGAAAACUUUUACAAGAAAUAUAAAAGGUUCGUUUCAAAAGGUUCUAUUGUGGCUUCAGACAUCAUUCAGCUUCAUAGAACCGACUGAUCAGAGCAGAAAUGGCGGCUCGUUUGCAUUCAGUGGCCUGCAUCGCACUCCUCGUGAUGUGCGUCAUCUUGAUGCGUGUCUCAGCAGAGUGUCCUCCAAUUAAACCUGGGGAGGUUGGUAUUUGCGCUAUUCUGUGUUCAUCUGACGACGGAUGUAAAUCCGGUGAAUUAUGCUGCCGCAACGGGUGUGGAGGAACAUACUGUUACAAUGGAUCCUAACAUAUUCUCUUUUACAAGAUUCAUCGAGCAAAGCUUGAGAGCUUCAGAAACAGCAAGAACUGUUUGUUGCAACACAUUCUGUGUGAAUUACCAUAAAAAUAAAUAAAUAGUACACAAUGAUGAA